rnacentral:sRNA from 1 species
AGUAUAGAACCAAAUCGGAAGGAACAAACAUGUACUGAAUCUAGUUACUGAAUCUCCAUACAAAGGGAAAAAAACAUACAACCACCAAACAUGGAUGAGCGAAUGUUGUGGAAGAACUGGCAAUAUCUGAAGAAUGAAAUCUACGUGGAGGAUUUUAUUGAUGCGAUGAUGGAGGCUGGGAUUUUUACUGCCCAGAAUAAGAGGGAUAUCAUGAUGGUGCAGCCCAGCACGCGCCAAAUGAAGGCCGAAAAGUUCCUGAACGUCCUCAUCCAGGCCGGCGAGAAGGGGUACGAGAUGUUUACUACCGUGCUCCACGCCAUGAGAACAGACAACCGAUACACGUCCCUGAUGGAGAAACUGAACCUCCCCAGUGGUAACGUGAUGGUGGUUCACCCACUGGUGGAAGACGGUAAGACGGUUUCUUGUCAUUAUGUAUUUCCUGGAGCUUUUAAAUGGCAUCGUACAGUAUACAAGUGUAUAUUUAUUUCUGAUUUUGCGUAAGAAACUAAUAAAAUUGAAUUGCAAACGCGUGCAAGUUUCAUAUUUUUGAGAAAAACUCGCACUGGAUUUCACGCAAUUUGAUAUGCAUAUUGACGUCAGAAUUAAAUUUAAAAUAAGGAUUUAAAUCACCACUAUAAAUUAUCUUAUUGGGUGGAACCACGUCUCAUCGCAAAUCACGUGACUUUUAUAAAUCUGUACAGGUCAAUAACAAAAUUCAAUGGAGAUAUGAUUAAUCAUACAAACUAGGCGGGAAUUCUAGACAGUAAUUGAUUUCCACAUUUUGAUUUUUAUUUGAUGUGCAUCACAUUUUUAUAACAGCUUCCGCGGCCUCUAGUGAUUGCAGGCCAGACACCCGAGGCUCACAAAGACCUUCCACAGCUUCAAGCGGAAGUACUGAUAUAAGCAGAGAUGGUGAAACCGGAGAGAAAAAUCGGCGAUCUGCAAGACAAGCAUGGCGGUCUCAGAAUUCCGGAAGUAACCCCAACAGCGCAAGCUCACGACGUCCAACAAGUAAUAGUGGCGCUCGUGGAGGAAUAGUCCGUCAGCCCAGCACGGGAGAGGUCAAUUCAGUAACUAGAUUCCCAAACCAAGCGCAGCCACCUCAACCAUCUUACGUGGCAGACGAGCAACCGCCAUCAGCCGCUUCUUGCGAUGGACAAACGACUAAACGAGAAAGACUUGUCAGUGGACAUGAACAUCUUGGAGCAGGAACUUGUUCGCAUCGCACCAACCAUUGCUGAGCUCUUCCAAAAGAUAUCGAAGACGACAUCCUCAAAUAUUCCGGUCAGCGAAGAAGAAAUCCGCAAGGUGAAGGAGGAAAACGAGAGGCUGCGAAAAACUAACAGGGCACUGAUUGAGAAGCUGAACAACUUCCAGCAAAAAAUCAUCCAGUUGCAGUUGGAGAAUAAGAAUCUAAGGGAAAAUGGCGAAGGUGCAAAAGAGGCAAAGGAAGAACUUGGGCGCAAAGCUCGGGAAUUACAAGACAUGGAAAGGAGACUGGAAGAACAGAAAAAUGCACUGGAAGAAAAAGAAAUGGAGCUUAACAUACAGCUGAUGAAAAUCAAGGAAAUUGAAAAGGACAUUAUCCGCCAGAAACGGCAGAUCACGAAACUCGAGAUUCUUCACGAGGAAGGCCAGCAAGAAAACGAGCGGCAACAGGAAGAAAUCGCCAUAUUGAAAGAGGACCGUUAUAAACAGCAGGAACAGAUUCGUCAGCUGGAGCUAAAGCAAGACAGGGAGACGAACGGCUGCGACGACUGGAGGAAAGACUGAAGCAGAUAGAGGAAGCCCCGUCAACAAAACCAAGAGCAUCAAAUCCCGGGACCCCAAAUUCAGGACGACCAAGCGACUUCUGGGCCAGAUGUACAACAGCGAAAUCACGUGAUAAACAUGACGUCACUCAAACCUGAAAAAAAAAUAUGCAGACAUACAAGCCUUUCCAUUUCAUUAUAAAAUGGCAAUUUUAAUGUUAAUUUUUUUAUCUGUAAGUUGAAUUGUAUUUUGUCCAGAGAACCUUUUCAUUGAGAGUGUUGUAAAUCGUUUCUGUUAAGAAUUCUUAUGAUGUUGAUGUUCGAUUUUAUGUACGACGAAUUUUUUAUCUUAUAAAAUGAAAUAUUCAAAAUG